rnacentral:rRNA from 1 species
UGGGGAAUAUUGGACAAUGGGGGCAACCCUGAUCCAGCCAUGCCGCGUGUGUGAAGAAGGCCUUUUGGUUGUAAAGCACUUUAAGCAGGGAGGAGAGGCUAAUGGUUAAUACCCAUUAGAUUAGACGUUGCCCGCAGAAUAAGCACCGGCUAACUCUGUGCCAGCAGCCGCGGUAAUACAGAGGGUGCGAGCGUUAAUCGGAAUUACUGGGCGUAAAGCGAGUGUAGGUGGCUCAUUAAGUCACAUGUGAAAUCCCCGGGCUUAACCUGGGAACUGCAUGUGAUACUGGUGGUGCUAGAAUAUGUGAGAGGGGAGUAGAAUUCCAGGUGUAGCGGUGAAAUGCGUAGAGAUCUGGAGGAAUACCGAUGGCGAAGGCAGCUUCCUGGCAUAAUAUUGACACUGAGAUUCGAAAGCGUGGGUAGCAAACAGGAUUAGAUACCCUGGUAGUCCACGCCGUAAACGAUGUCUACUAGCCGUUGGGGUCCUUGAGACUUUAGUGGCGCAGUUAACGCGAUAAGUAGACCGCCUGGGGAGUACGGCCGCAAGGUU